rnacentral:rRNA from 1 species
UACGUAGGUGGCAAGCGUUGUCCGGAUUUAUUGGGCUUAAAGGGUGCGUAGGCGGCUUGAUAAGUCAGUGGUGAAAGCCGAUCGCUCAACGAUCGAAUUGCCAUUGAUACUGCCAGGCUUGAGUACAGUUGAGGUAGGCGGAAUUGACAGUGUAGCGGUGAAAUGCAUAGAUAUUGUCAAGAACACCGAUUGCGAAGGCAGCUUACUAAAGUGUAACUGACGCUGAGGCACGAAAGUGCGGGGAUCAAACAGG